rnacentral:lncRNA from 1 species
CACCGCCAUUACGCCAUAUUUUUCAAGCCUUUAUUCUGAAUUUAUGGUUCGAAAAAUUCGCUUUUUUUAAGCGACGACGAAUGAUUUGAACGAAGAGGUAACAGCGAGCAUGACUGAAUAACAUUCAGGUAAGCAUAUUGUUAUGUUAUAUGUAUAAUGGAGCAGUUUUGAAAGUAAAUAUUCGCUAUCUUCAUUCAUAAAUUUUGAGCAUGUGUUCAUGUUUAAAAUUUGAAUUUGCCGCGACAAUAUUUGAAUUAAAAAGAUGAUAUAUUAGUUUUAUAGAAGGCUUACAUUUGACUUUAUAUUAAAUUAUGUUUAUUGUAUAAAGGGCAACUAAUAUUUGUGUAUAUGAAUAUAUGACAGACUACCAGAUAAGGGUCAUUCCAUUUAUUAUCCGCACCCCCCCUAUGGAUGAGCUCUGGUAAAAAUGUUACCUGUAGGAAUCGGAUUUCAGAGAAGUACCCUGUUGGAAUCGACAGUAUCAAUCUAAACCCUAGGAAUGCUGCUAAUUGCCAAUAUCUCACUGGUAGGAAUCUGCUAAUUGCCAAUAUCUCACCGGUAGGAAUCUGCUAAUUCCCAAUGUCAGACCGGGGGAGGGGUGAGGAUAAUAAAUGGAAUGAUUAUGAUUCUCAUAAUAAAUAUUUGGCAAUAUAGUAUGCUACACCUCGACGGCAAUAUCUGACCGGUAGGAAUCGGGCCGAAGGAAUCUGCUAAUUCCCAAUAUCUGACCAGUAGGAAUCCCCUAAGUCCUAAUAUCUGACCGGUAGGAAUCCGCUCAUCCAUAGGGGGGGUGCGGAUAAUAAAUGGAAUGACCCUAACAAUGUUUCUGGUAUAAAGUAUAAAUAUAGCUUGGCAUCUACUCAAUCAUCAUAUGCUCAACUACACAUGUCCCAGCUAAACAUGGUUUGAGAAAAUGUAACCACUUGUUUCAAAUCAACUGCUACUUUCAUAAGUUUCUAAUUUUUAUAUAUCUAGGUUUUUUAUGUCCAAAUUCUUCAAUCAAUGAAAAAAUCUAUUUCACUGUUAGAGGUGUUAUGUACCAGUCAAUGAAAACCUAUACAACUCAGCCCCUCCACCCCACCCCCCCGAAUAUAAGCCCAGUAGCUCACUAUGUUAUUCAACAUUGACAUUGUCUUUUAAUUAACCCAUUAAGCUGUGGAGCUUCCCCAUUAACAAGUAAAAUUGUCUGGCAUAAGACAAGUAAAAAAAUAGGUUAGGCACACUGGGGCGCAUUACGGCUUGAUGGGUUUACCAGAGACAUUGUCAAAUUUUUUGGUCAACCCAUUAAGCUGCAGAGUUUCCCCAUUGACGAGCAAAAUCGUUUGGCGUUAGACAAGUGAAAAAAAAGUAGAGCGCACUGGGGCGCGUUGUGGCUCAAUGGGUUAUUAUAUCAGAGAACAAUAUUUAAAAACAUUGUCUUUAUAGCUUAAGUCAACAACAAAACGUCGUUAAUUAAUCAAAGUGCAUUAUUACUAUGUGUUUAUUUUCCUGUUUAUGACUGACUUGUUUAUUAUACUAACACAAAAGAUUGAAUGUCCAUGUAUAAGCUCUAUCCCUCCUAUAUACUAACCCCCGCCCUUUGUAUAAGCCCACCAAAUAUAUAGCCCAGGGUUUAUAGUCCGAGAUUUACGGUAUUCCAUGAACCCAUUAAGAUGUGAUGUUGUGAUGGAUUAACAGACUGUGUGUGCAUGUCUCAGUUACCAUUAGCACUUACAUACCCUAAUUUAACCCAUUAAGCUGCAGAGCUUCCCCGCGUUUUCCCGUUUCCUAGGAUAGAGGCCUCAUCACGAUUUAUGAAUAAGGUCUAUAGUACUCUGAUUUUCCAUUUAACAUACGAGCCUCUAGUCCUGGGAUAGGGUACAUUUUGAUUUACGAUAAACAAAGCUACAGUUCUGUCGGACACCAAUACACUCAGGUCGGACAAACAAUAAACCUCAAUUUCACUUUGGUCGGACAGAAUGUCUGGUGGUUUCCUCUCUACGUCGGACAAUUUCACUAAUGGGUCGGACAAUGUCCAUGACCGACCGAUAUUUUAAGGCCUGCAUAGCUGGAUUAACCCUAACCCGUAGUUAAAAUUUAUGUAUUUCUACAUACAGUAUCUUUUUGUUUUAAAAUUAUGAAAAGAAAACUCCUAUCAAUGGUACUGAUCCAGACAAGAUGUCUAAAGAAAUAUUUCCAAAUUUAUAAACAAACUGUUAGGAAGUUUGCUUAAUCUAAGGUUAACUUAUCAGCUUUCGAACAAUCAACCCCUGCAUGGUGAUUUUGUUUGUCAAUGGGGAGUGUGUUGGACUUAAAAGGUUUUAACCUUUCAUUGAAACUAGAUUGUCUGCCCACAUUUUGUGUUAACACAUUAUUAAGAUAAAAGCCAGACUGCUUUCAGUACUUCAUGAUUUUACUAUGUCUAACAUCAGAGGGUCACAUUUCAUAUUUACUGUAACCCUUUUAGAUGCAAAGGACAUUUUAGUCAUCCAGAGGGGGAGGGAGUCUAAGAGUAGAAUCUUCUGAGACUGAUAAUAGUAAGAUGUACUAAUUAAGACAUCAAUGGAAUGGGGUAGGGGGGGGGGGUUAAAUUCCAAGUUUCUUUGUAUGUCAUGCUUGAAGUUUUCAAGGAUGGAUAGAUCGGCUUAGAUAAAAAUGUCAAUUUGAUGUUUUGUGUGGCAACUUGAAUAUGGACAUCUCCCUAAUUGGAAACAGUUAAAGUCCUUAGUUUGUUUGUUUGUUUGUUCAAACUCAUGAAUACAUUUAGCUAGCUACACCACCCACAUGAUCUGCUUAGUAAUAUAUGUAACAACCCAAUUCACUCCAAUUAACCCAGUUUUCAGCACUUUCUUAAAUUAUGUCACCUUUCCUAAUGCCGGACAAGUUAAUUUGUGUGUAGCUAGAUUUUGCCCAUGUUUCAUGUUGACAUAUUUAGAUGCAAUUUUCCCUAACACUCCCUACUUUAAGUCCUUUAAUAUUGAACUGUGACGUCUCAUGCUAGACAAUUUUACUUAUCAACUGCAUGGACUCAUUUCACCUAUUAACACCGAAGAAACAAUUUCCUCUUAAAUGUUGCCUACUUUCGGUUCUUUCUAGGGGUGUGCAGGACAGAGUAUUUCUGCUAUCCAGCCAGAUACAGGAUAUGCUGGAUGGCUGAAAAAUAUCCAGCCCGAUUAAGGGUAUUAUUCAAAUAAUUAUAUAAGGUUCAGGCAUCAUUUAAGGUUAAGUACUGGUAAUAAUUUUAUUUGGUUAAAAAGUAAACAGUCUAAAACUAGUAAACCUGCAUCAUUGGUAGCAAACAUGCAUCAUUGGUAGCAAAAGCCUCGUUUACAUCAGUUAAAAGUUCAAAUCCCCAUUUACUGUACAAACAAGCAUUGAAAAUACUGAUCAUAUUUAUCAUAUUUUUACUUCAAUGAUCAUGAUAUGAUAACCUUAUCAAAUCAUUUUCUAACCUGAAAAGAAGGCCUGAACCCUAUAUGAAUAAUAUCCGGCAUUGGGUAGCCGGAUACCAGAUAAUGAAUUAAAAUCUUAAUAUCCGGCCAGAUACAGUAUCAGUCCAUUGCAUCCUAUGUCUUGAAAUGCCAAACAAAUUAACUUGUUAAAUGACUGUAUAUUGAUAUUCAAUAUACUUAGCUAAUAUAUGCACCCUUUUAUUGUUAACCCUUUCAGCAGCAAUGUGCCCAAGUGCACCCUACUUUGUUAUGUUGCACUUAACUAACACCAGACAUUUUACUUUGUGAAAUGCCAGACAAUUUUACUCCUCAAGAGCAGUGUCCUGCUCACUAAUGGUUAUCCAAACUAUCUGCCAAUGUGCCUUGAUAACACAUUAGGCCGAAAUGCACCCAAAUUGACCCGCCUUUGUUAUUUUACUCUGUCAAAUGCCGGACAAUUUUAGUCAUCAAGAAGAGAGUCCUGCGUGCUAGUGGGUUAAAUGACUUAAUUACAUAUGUUAUAUAUAAACUUAAGCUGUUAGAUUGUCCCAUUGUAUAUUAUUUUUUUACUUAUCUUGACACAGGCUUGUAUGUUGGAUUGAUACGACUACCUGUAAAUAUGGUUAAACUUGGCUAUGUGAUUCAAAGGUUGUGGUUCACCGAGCGAUAAAGAAAAUGAUACAAAGAUGGAAUGAUUGGAUGCAAGUUAUCAGUUACAGUGUUUCAUAUGACAGGUAUUCUGAUUGUGGAAGAUGUGGGCUUGCAAUAUUUUGACAAUUGCAUGGCUGUAAAGUACGAGACAAUUAAUAUAGUACUCCAUUACUCUAAUUGCCAGAAGACUGCAUCAGAAUGAGAAGUUGUCUGUUACAGUUCGGUUUAGUAAAAGUAUAGUAAAAGUACAUAGUCAACUAUGUAAAAUGUAAUUUAGUCAGUGUCAAAUAAAUAUUUUGUCAUGGAUAAACUCUGUG